AGAUCACAUGGCAAUUAUGACUUACAAGGCAUGGUUUUCAUGUGAUACGUGACACGUGUAACUUAACAGCCAAUCUUUUAGCCACUGCCUAUUGUGUGAAUAAUUUCUGCUUGAGUCAGGAUGUUUUGACAAAAGAAUGCCAAACUAUAGGAAAAAAUCAGCCAAAAUGACGUUCAAAAAAUCACCCUCUGCUUCUACUAUCAAGACCCGCUCAGUCUUCCCUGCCAGACUGAGUGAACCGUCUUUAGCCAAAAAGUUUAAAAUUGGAAUUUGUGCGAUGGAAAACAAGAGUCGAUCAAUCCCCAUGAAGCAAAUACUCUCCAGAUUAGAUGCUCAAAACUUCUUUGAGAUAAUUGUUUUUACCAACCAAAUGUUAUUUGAUUUGAACAUAGAUGAGUGGCCUAGAGUUGACUGUCUGCUGGCGUUCUAUUCAACAGGUUUCCCUUUGGACAAAGCAAUUGCUUUUGGUAACAAAUACAAACCUUUUAUGAUCAAUGACCUUGAGAUGCAGAAAGUGAUACGGAACAGAGAAAAGGUCUACAGUCUUCUUAAAUCAGACAAUGUGCCGGUGCCGCGAUAUGAAGUCCUUAAGAGAAAAGAUGAUCUUAACCAAUCCUUAGAAGAUUCUCAAGUGAUGGAAGAACAUGAAGACCACCUGACCAUUAAUGAUCAAGUUUUUACAAAGCCGUUUGUGGAGAAGCCUGUGAACGCUGAUGAUCAUAAUAUCUACAUCUAUUACCCUCAAGCAGCUGGGGGAGGAAGUCAACGUCUUUUUAGAAAAGUAUACGAAAGAUCCAGUAUAUAUUCUCCAAUAUCAAGAGUCAGGAAAUUUGGAUCUUACAUCUAUGAGGAUUUCAUGCCCACAGAUGGUCAAGAUGUUAAGGUAUACACAGUUGGCUUGCAUUAUGCUCAUGCUGAAGCAAGAAAAUCUCCUACACUUGAUGGAAGAGUUGAGAGGGAUAAAGAUGGGAAGGAGCUGAGGUAUCCUGUUAUUCUCAGCGCCAAGGAGAAGGAAAUUGCCAGACUUGUAGCUCUGGCUUUUAAGCAAAACAUCUGUGGGUUCGAUCUGCUGCGAGCUAAUGGACAAGUAUACGUUUGUGAUGUAAACGGAUUCAGCUUCGUCAAAAACAGCCCCAAAUAUUACGACGACUGUGCGCAAGUCUUAGGAGAGUUGGUGCUGAAUAACCUGUGUCCGGAGCUAGUGUACGUGUUAAAACAGCGGAUAAACCCAACAAUACCCGUCACACCAGAACAGGCCAAAAACGACAGUGCAAGUAACCCGCGUUUGGAGCUUAGAUGUGUGUUAGCAAUAGUGAGACAUGGAGAUAGGACUCCCAAACAGAAGAUGAAGAUGAUCGCAAAGGAACAACGGUUUAUAGACUUGUUCAAGAAGUACGCCAAGGACGGAGACAAGGAGCUAAAACUAAAGAGACCCGCCCAAAUGAAGGAGGUCCUGGAAAUGACCAGAGAACUGAUAGUGGAGAAGGAAAACGCGGGAAACUCUGACAACGUGGAGAAACUGAAAGUACUGAAAUCGGUACUGGAAAUGUACGGGCACUUCUCGGGGGUGAACAGGAAGGUACAGUUAAAGUGGGUAACAAACAAACCCCCUAACAAGACACCUCUGAAGAGAAUAGAGCAGAUUAUAGAGGAGUACGAGGAAUCUCCUACAGAGCACCCCGAACAAAAGCUCCUGCUCAUCCUAAAGUGGGGAGGCGAGCUGACGAUGGCAGGACGAGCUCAGAGCGAGUGUAUGGGAGAUUCCUUCCGGUCCGUCUACCCUAACAAAAACGAUUACAGUGCGUUGCCGGGAAGUGGAUUUAUACGACUUCACAGCACAUACCGUCACGACCUAAAGAUAUACGCAAGCGACGAGGGCAGAGUUCAGACAACUGCUGCUGCUUUCGCUAAGGGAUUGUUAAGUCUGGACGGUGAGAUAGCACCCAUACUAUAUCACUUGGUGAGGUCACAUAAAACUGAUAAACUACUUGACCAGCCACCUUCUGGUCCUGGCAAACGCAUUAUGGCUAACGUAAAACUGCGACUGCACAAGAUGAUCCAUAACAAGGAAGAAUUCACAGAGGAAGAUUAUAAGAAGUUCGCUCCAACAGGAUCUCAGUCCCUCAUGGACAGUAUGAGAAUCAUCAAGAAUCCGUACAAGAAGUGCUGUGAGCUGCUGCAGUUCGUCAAGAACAUUGUCCAACAGAUUAAAGAUAUCAGCGACAAUCCCGAACUUGUCGCAGAAUAUAAUCCGCUGUACCACGACGAGAGUGUACAGUUAAUGUUAGGACGAUGGUCAAAACUAGAGAAGGAUUUCCAGUCCAAGGACGGCUCAUUUGAUAUCAGCAAGAUACCCGACAUAUUCGAUAAUAUCAAGUAUGACGUGCAGCACAACAGCAAGCUGGGACUGAAGAACACUAUUCGUCUCUACUCCUGUGUCAAACCUUUAGCUGAUCUCAUCGUACCCCAGGAGUACGGAAUUACAGAGCCGGAGAAAGUGGAGAUAGGGAGGAUGAUUCUUAGUCCUCUGGUCAGAAAACUGUUGGCAGAUCUGAAAGUAGCCAGUACAGACGACAAUUCUGAUAAUCCCUAUCGGCUUAAUGCCUCGUACAUGCCGAACGUGCUGACCCCUGGACGGUAUGUGAGAACUCGGCUUUACUUCACCUCCGAGUCCCUCAUACACUCUUUCCUGAAUAUUAUCAGAUAUGCUGGACUCUGCAAUCCAGAGGAUCAGGACGAGUCCUGGAAAGAAGCCAUGGAAUAUCUAGGAAGUGUACGUGAAGCGCAGUACCAUACCCAAAUUGUUCUAAUGAUGUACGAGGACAGGCAUCUACCAGAAAGUGACCCUAAUAGGUUCAGAGUUUCCAUUAACUUCUCCCCUGGUACCGCUGCUUGUCAGAGGAAAGUGAACGAGAGACUCAACGCUAUGUCAGAGCGGUUGUCUGAAAGUGGCGGUGGUGAUAUUAACAAGAUAUUAUCAGAGAUAUUGCUCGAGAAUGGCGAGAUCUCGUCCGGUGCAGUCACACCAGCUGAAGCAGAAGACAGUGAAAAUGAGGCUCCGCUCCCCGAGUUCCCUGAGGCGAUGGAUGAUUCAAUGCCUCCAGUGCAAGAAGUAGAGUCUGUGGACUCCAUGAAGUUCCUUACUAAAGCUGAACUAGUCGAACAGAUUGUCAGACCUUUGGAGGAGGGAGAUCUAGUAGACGCUAACUGGACAGCUCUGUUGAGAACCCAGCCCUGUUCUCCUGAGGACGCCGCUUUUAGGGAGUGGUUAAACAGCUUCCCUAAAGAGAGGAGGUUCUCACCUGCUGCUCUCCGAUACGCAGCGGCAAUAUUUACUGAGGGAGACGGACAUGAAGCAGUGGAACCCCUGGUUACCCUUCACAACAACAUUCCUCUUCACCAGUUUGAAGCGUUCCUUCAGAAGAUAGCUGAAGCUAAGAUGUAACAGACCUAAUGGAUUGCGAACAGUCGGAUAUCCACUUUUUCGACCCCACUCCUUCUCCAGUACCGCUUCAAGGGAUACUGCAACACCAGAACAAUUUCAAGACAUAGAGCGAGAGAACACCCCACAGCCCGACCAGCACCCUUUAAAAAUGCAGUCCUCACAGUUCGACAGAAACCAAAACCCUCUUAGUCCUACCAGUUACCGGGGGUAGAACCCCGCUAUCUCAUAGCUUCUCGAAUAGGAGUAGGGCACAUUGGACUUUCUAGUUCUCACUUUUUACCUGCCACACUUCAGAAUUACUGGCACAGAGCCAAUGCUGAAUACUGGCACAGAGACACGAGACUUAACAGGCCAAUUUUAGAACUUAAUGGAAAGAAAUUAUUGUUGGGUCCUCGCCACUAAAGUUCUAAUAAGGGAAACCUUCAAACUCAAUCCAGAUUAUAUGCUGGUUUGGUAUUCGUGUUCUACAUUAAUAUUGAAGAAAGAAAGAUUUCUGCAAACUUUCAGGUAUAAUCUAAAGAUAACAGAUAAGAGUGCUUGGUGUAGUAAUUAAUACGUUUUUAUUAGUGUGACUUUAAAUUGUUUUAUGUAGGAGGACGUGUUAAGUCUAUCAUUUUAUUUCGGAUGAAUUUUAUUUAAUAGCUUUAGCUUUAGAAUAAAAGAUAAAAACAUGGUCUAGACCACCAGUAUUUAUGUUAGGUAGACAUUUAAACUGCAUUUUCGAUUCGAUUUCUUAUUUAUAAUGGUCAGCGUGCACCGAUGAUGUCAGUUUUAGCCUAAUGCAUCUAUGAAUCAUUUUCUUGCUAUUUUCUGCUGAUUCUUUUUGUUGAAUAUUUAAACCUAAAAGUUAAAUACGGGACUUAGUGCAAAUGUAAUGAUUAAAUGACGGGAGAAUUUAGCAUUCACAAUUCAAAUGUAAAACGAUUUUUAUAAAUUUGCAAACCAAUAAUGAAAUAA